AGAGUUUGAUCCUGGCUCAGAGCGAACGCUGGCGGCAGGCCUAACACAUGCAAGUCGAGCGCCCGCAAGGGGAGCGGCGGACGGGUGAGUAACACGUGGGAACGUGCCCUUCGGUUCGGGAUAACUCAGGGAAACUUGAGCUAACACCGGAUACGCCCUUCGGGGAAAGGUUACGCCGAUGGAGCGGCCCGCGUCUGAUUAGCUAGUUGGUGAGGUAAAGGCUCACCAAGGCUACGAUCAGUAGCUGGUCUGAGAGGAUGAUCAGCCACACUGGGACUGAGACACGGCCCAGACUCCUACGGGAGGCAGCAGUGGGGAAUCUUGCGCAAUGGGCGAAAGCCUGACGCAGCCAUGCCGCGUGAAUGAUGAAGGUCUUAGGAUUGUAAAAUUCUUUCAGCGGGGACGAUAAUGACGGUACCCGCAGAAGAAGCCCCGGCUAACUUCGUG
rnacentral:rRNA from 1 species